UAUAUUUGAUAAAAGCAUACUAGAAAUAUAACAAUAAGUCGACCACUGACGAGAUUUCUUAUUUUGGAAAGAGACAUAAGCAUGUGGAAGAAGAGUACAGGUCUGCAUGCCAGAACGAUGAAUCGACGGAAUGGUGCCGUAACGUUCGAAUAAAUGAGUUCGGUGGUGUCACGGCUCUCAUGUGCUACGACUUACAAUAUGCUUCCAAAUGCUGUGCGUUUUGUCAUACUGAGAUGAUGCUCGUUAUGGAUGGGAAAUAACUUCAUAGAAGGUUGUGAUGAUUGGUUACAAAACAGGAGAGUAUAUAUAAAAUAAAAACAUAAACAGAU